GCUGGGUGUGGUGGCGUGCACCUGUAAUCCCAGCUACUCAGGAGGCUGAGGCAGGAGAAUUGCUUGAGCCUGGGAGGCGGAGGUUGCAGUGAGCCGAGGUUGUGCCAUUGCAUUCCAGCCUGAGCAACAGAGUGAGACUCUGUCUCAC
rfam:Homo sapiens chromosome 3, GRCh38 reference primary assembly.